rnacentral:lncRNA from 10 species
AAUUCUGCUUUGUCCUUUUUGCUUUGCUCAGCCUCCCCUAAGCUCCCAUCACUGCUUUCUUGUAUUUGGCCUAUGCUACAUCCACUUGGAAUUCUUUCACCGCCUUCGCUGGGUUGCAGGACUUGCCAAAUGGCAGUUUUUGCCUCCUCAGGUUGAAUUUGUUCAGCCUCCUGCUUCAUACUGCCUUCUUGGCUUCUGCUGAUUCUAUUUUCACUCAGAAUGGUUCCCUGGAGACAUGGAACUUGCAAAAUGGCCGGCUGGAUUUCCGCUUCGUGGCCCAUGUUUCCGUCAUUUGAUUGACCCCCUUCUCUGGCGCCCUGUGGUGUGGUUUCAGAGGGCUCUGGUUUUCCAGCCCUGGUGUACUCUAUCACACUUAUCUCAUCAAUGGGAUCUACAGAGGACUCUAGGAUUUUAGGGCAGGUCAGAAACUUUUUAAAGAAGGCAGUGUGAUCCAUCUUGAGUUGUUUUUCCUCCUGGUCUUGACUCACAUUGUUAACAUUUUCCUUCCCUCCAGUUUCAGAAGCCGCUGACAGUGAAUCUGUGACAGAUAACUCCUUUUCAUCUACAGGGUCCACGGAUGACUCCAGGAGUCUGGGUUGGCUGAAACCCCGGGAAGAAAGACUUCUCCAAUGUACACUGAUGGUGGGCUCUUCGCCUUUAUGGCUUUCUCUGCUAUCAGCAAGGGCUGACUCAGCAUCCUCUGGACUGUGAGCCAAUGCUGCUAUUUCAGAGGGGGCCAAUUCAGGCACAACAGCAUCUGCCUUUAGACUAUCAGGUACAGCCCAGACCUUGUCAGGAAUUAUGAGACCACCGUCUGAUGCCUUGCUCUCAGAAUUUGUCAGUUGUCGUGGUGGCCAGAUUUCAGAAGCGGAAGCCUCUAGAGUUAUAAUCUUCAGCUUGUUGCCUGCCUCCCAAUUUCCAGGUCUAUAUUCUUUAGACUCUUCCAAAAGGAUAUCAGAGAGAGAUGGAACGUUGCUCAGAGCCUGACUGUCUUCUUCCCCAGCAGUUUCAGCCACCACGGAGACCCUCGUCCCCCAACCUGAGCGCUGCCCUGCUCCUUCCCUAGAGCUUGCGGGUGAGUGGGCCGUGGGCACCAAGUUUCUUUCCUCUUGUGCAGCAGAUGUCGUAGGCAAACUUUGUUGGAAAUCAGGUGCAGAAAGAGAACCCUGCUGGGACAGGCUCUGCUGCUGGACCCCCUGCUUUGUUUCACUUCCUCUUUCUUGGAAAUUCUCUUCAUAGCUCCUAAAGUCUGCUCUGUCCACAGUCUGGCUCUUAUCUCCAGACAGGUUAUCAACCUGAAGAGGGGAAUUACUGCAGAAACCCUCUCCCUCUGGGAGCUGCAGGACAUGGUGUGGGACUCCUGGCACACUGGGUGCCCUGCAAAGUAGCUCUUUUGUAGAUUUGAUGGUAGCACCACUUAAAAUAUGAUCCAACUGCACUUGGGAAGGAAAUUGGGAAACCUUUUCAUGGGAUGCACGAGGGAACCUCUCCUCAGUGCCACCUGCAUGCUUGUCCUCAGGAAUUGACACAGCAAGGUAUUUGGCUGGGUGGACUUCGGUGGCAAUGGUAACAGUUGAUGUGUCCUCAGUCUCCCUGGUCGCUUGAAAGCACUCAUUAUUAGCAGUUAAUGUUGUUGGCUUCUCCCAAGGAAAACUCACAAUUGAACUAUAACUGGCUGGUGUGGCUGUGGUGUCUGCGGCACUAGGACUGGGGCUCUUGUCACCUCCUUCUUUAAAUUGCACUAAAGGAUUGUUCUCAGAAGAAAGGAGCUGUGUUUCAUCAAGCCCUCCUGAGUUGCUGGGGCUUGGCUGCUCCUGGCCAGCAUGUACUGUGGAGGCCAGUGGGUAGGUGGAAUUCUCCACCUUGGCUAGAUUUUCUCCUGUGGCACCUUCACUAGCUGUGUGUGAAAUGUUCAAGGUGAAAGUACUGGUAAAAAGAGGGGACAUGACUGAGUUGCCGUCCUUGCUGCUUUUGCACGUAGACACUGAAGUCUCAGACACUUGUGUCUGAAAAAAGACUUCCAGUGUCUUGUCAUUAGAAGAACAUAAAUCAGAUACUUUGUUUUGACCUUCUGCCAGUUCCGUAUCUACAGAGCAAAUUUCUUGAGGCGAAUAUUUAUCAACUGGUCUCCCAACAAGAGAAUCUAUGGUAUCAAAACACGUUCCUUGGUCACCAGCCUCAAAACACUCCAUUGCACACACUGCUUCUCUGUCCCUUGGCUCAUCACACACAUUUUCCAGGGUGAGGGCAGUAUCUGUGGGUUCAGGGGAAGCAACAGAGACAGCCACAGGCUCCCUGAAGUCAGCACGAGCAUCCUUGGGGAGAUGCCUUGAGAACACACCUGGGGACAUAGUCUCAUCAUUGGCUUCUGAGAUGCUCUGCUCAUAUUUUAGGUCUUCCCUGAAAUUGUCAGGUAUGUUGCCAUCUCUGUCUUGUUUUUCUUCAUGCUGUGGACCACAGGUACAGGGUUUGACCUCCGAGUGUUGAGCUAAUGAUGCAUUUUCCUUGUGGACCCCUCCUAAGUUUGAGAAGGAAAUUGUUGUGGUCCCAGUGAAUGGGGACUCCUCCCCAGCAGGCUCUGAGAAAGCUGGCAUCUGGCUGCAAGAGAUUGUCUCUCUGACUGUUUCCUGAACUUGUACCUAGGAAGAUGAAAAGUGAUAUUAGUAGAAUUGUUCAUGGGAGAGCCCACAAUAGGGCAUAACUGCAAUCCCAAGAGUGUUAAUCCUCAAUGACCGUAAUAAUGGACAAGAAUGAUUGAAAUCUAAACAUUAAUCCCCCAACUCCCUCUAGCUAUUAGAGAUUUCCUAGAAAACUGCAAAUUUAAGCAACUCUGUGUUCCAGGGGGCCCUUUGUCAAAUUCAUCAUUAUAAGCAAAAAGCCUCCUGACAACCAUCAUUUAUUUAAUGAUUUCUUUCUCUCUUAGGAAAUAGAUGGAAAUAAAUCGAAUGUUAACUGUUUUGAUCAAGUAAGUCACAACAAGAGCUGUGCGCAUCUUUCCAGAAAGAUGAAUCUCACAUGAUCAUAAUAAAUGAAAUAAACAGUACUUGCAAAACAGCAAUAAGCAAUCUUUGUCCCCAAAAUAUAACAGCUUGCUGGUUAAUAAUUGCUAUGGUUUGGAUAUUUGCCCCCUCCAAACCUCAUGUUGAAAUUUGAUCCUCAGGGUUGAAGGUGGGGCCUAAUGGGAAGUGUUUGGGUUAUGGGGGUGGAUCUCUUACGAAUAGAUUUAUGCCAUCCCUCAGGGGUGGGGGGAAUGAGUGAGUUCUCAAUCUAUUACUUCCUCGUUGUUAAAAAGAGUCUGGCACCAUCCCCACCCCCACCCUGCUUCCUCUCUGUCCAUACUAUCUCUGAAAAUGCCAGCUCCCCUCUGCCUCCCAUCGUGAGUUGGAAGCAGACUGAGGCCCUCACCAGAUGCAGAUGCCUAAUGUUGAACUUUCUAGCCACCAGAAUCAUGAACCAAAUAGGCCUCAUUUCUUGAUAAACUACCCAAUCUCAGGUAUUCUGUUAUAGCAACAUGAAGUGCACUAAGAUAACAAUGUUACUAAAAAACAGAGAGAAGGCUGCCUUUGAACCCACCUCUAAUGAAUAAAUGGACUUAUGAUUGGCCACCAGCACUGCCAAUCAUUUCUUUCCUAGAGAAGCUUAUAAACAUCCCAGAAUGUAUCCCAGACUUUAAAAUAGAUGCCCAGUGGCAGGCAGACCACCUCUACAGGAAAUAGAAGAUUCAGGACUGCUUAGGUUUUUGAGAAAAGGGGAGAGGGGGAGGGAGGGAGGAAGAGAGGAAGGCAGAGAAAAAGAAACCUCACAUUCUGAGGAUUGAGCCUUUCAUGGUACUAUAUGAACGUUCCAUGAUAUUGGAUAUUGUUCAAGGAAGCAGCAAACUCUUUGACUAAAUCCUUGUCUCAUGAAA